UACGGGGGGGGCAAGCGUUGUUCGGAAUUACUGGGCGUAAAGGGCUCGUAGGCGGCCAACUAAGUCAGACGUGAAAUCCCUCGGCUUAACCGGGGAACUGCGUCUGAUACUGGAUGGCUCGAGUUUGGGAGAGGGAUGCGGAAUUCCAGGUGUAGCGGUGAAAUGCGUAGAUAUCUGGAGGAACACCGGUGGCGAAGGCGGCAUCCUGGACCGACAUUGACGCUGAGGCGCGAAAGCCAGGGGAGCAAACGGG
rnacentral:rRNA from 1 species